AGACCCGAAACCCGGUGAUCUAGCCAUGGGCAGGUUGAAGGUUGGGUAACACUAACUGGAGGACCGAACCGACUAAUGUUGAAAAAUUAGCGGAUGACCUGUGGCUGGGGGUGAAAGGCCAAUCAAACCGGGAGAUAGCUGGUUCUCCCCGAAAGCUAUUUAGGUAGCGCCUCGUGAAUUCAUCUCCGGGGGUAGAGCACUGUUUCGGCUAGGGGGCCAUCCCGGCUUACCAACCCGAUGCAAACUGCGAAUACCGGAGAAUGUUAUCACGGGAGACACACGGCGGGUGCUAACGUCCGUCGUGAAGAGGGAAACAACCCAGACCGCCAGCUAAGGUCCCAAAGUCAUGGUUAAGUGGGAAACGAUGUGGGAAGGCCCAGACAGCCAGGAUGUUGGCUUAGAAGCAGCCAUCAUUUAAAGAAAGCGUAAUAGCUCACUGGUCGAGUCGGCCUGCGCGGAAGAUGUAACGGGGCUAAACCAUGCACCGAAGCUGCGGCAGCGAACGUAUCACCCAAGACAACUUUACGGAGUUGACGAUUGACGGAGCGAAGCGACGUCAAAGCGUUCAUUAAAGUCGAGUUGGCUUAGGGAUACGUUCGUUGGGUAGGGGAGCGUUCUGUAAGCCUGUGAAGGUGUGUCGUGAGGCAUGCUGGAGGUAUCAGAAGUGCGAAUGCUGACAUAAGUAACGAUAAAGCGGGUGAAAAGCCCGCUCGCCGGAAGACCAAGGGUUCCUGUCCAACGUUAAUCGGGGCAGGGUGAGUCGACCCCUAAGGCGAGGCCGAAAGGCGUAGUCGAUGGGAAACGGGUUAAUAUUCCCGUACUUGGUGUUACUGCGAA
rnacentral:rRNA from 3 species